AACAGAUCAGUGUCAGUGACAACCCAGGAUAAGCAAAAUGAAGCCAUUGACGCCAUACGCCAGUACUAUGCCUUCUUGCUCAAUUCGAUUGACUUAAGAUACCAGAACAUUGUUGAAGAUGAUGUUCAGUUCAAAGUACAAUUCGCGGGGAUGUUUCUGGCUACGACUGACGCUGAAUCACCAUUCACAUCGACCUUAAAAUCAGAGAAUGCAAACGACGGAGAUCGACCUCUGGUGGAUGCUGGCGAAUCACUCCAGAGUUUUCAGU